UGCAAGUCGAGCGGAAGGCCCUUCGGGGUACUCGAGCGGCGAACGGGUGAGUAACACGUGAGCAACCUGCCCUAGGCUUUGGGAUAACCCUCGGAAACGGGGGCUAAUACCGGAUAUGACCUUUGGACGCAUGUCUUUUGGUGGAAAGUUUUUCGGCCUGGGAUGGGCUCGCGGCCUAUCAGCUUGUUGGUGGGGUGAUGGCCUACCAAGGCGACGACGGGUAGCCGGCCUGAGAGGGCGACCGGCCACACUGGGACUGAGACACGGCCCAGACUCCUACGGGAGGCAGCAGUGGGGAAUAUUGCACAAUGGGCGGAAGCCUGAUGCAGCGACGCCGCGUGAGGGAUGACGGCCUUCGGGUUGUAAACCUCUUUCAGCAGGGACGAAGCGGAAGUGACGGUACCUGCAGAAGAAGCGCCGGCCAACUACGUGCCAGCAGCCGCGGUAAGACGUAGGGCGCGAGCGUUGUCCGGAUUUAUUGGGCGUAAAGAGCUCGUAGGCGGCUUGUCGCGUCGACCGUGAAAACUUGGGGCUCAACCCCAAGCCUGCGGUCGAUACGGGCAGGCUAGAGUUCGGUAGGGGAGACUGGAAUUCCUGGUGUAGCGGUGAAAUGCGCAGAUAUCAGGAGGAACACCGGUGGCGAAGGCGGGUCUCUGGGCCGAUACUGACGCUGAGGAGCGAAAGCGUGGGGAGCGAACAGGAUUAGAUACCCUGGUAGUCCACGCUGUAAACGUUGGGCGCUAGGUGUGGGGGGCCUCUCCGGUUCCCUGUGCCGCAGCUAACGCAUUAAG
rnacentral:rRNA from 1 species